UUCCCUUGUCACACACGCUUGACCGUGCGCGCUGCUCCCGAGACAGUCUUGACCGUGGUUAUCGUGCGGCGUCCGUCUGAGGCCGGGCAUCGGAUUGGGCUUUAUGACUGAAUGGCCAUGAGGAGGCGAUUGAUGUGUACGAUUCGCGCAGUGUGACAGAUGUUGUGAAGGCUGCGAAAUGAAGGCCAGCCACCAGAGCGCGCGUGCUGGUCCGACCCCACCCGAAACAACUCGCCCAAACCCGCUGAAUCCUUCUACAUUCCACGUCCGUACCUGAUUGGUUUUAGGCACAAGCUGAGCGCUUCCGAAACAGGAAGUGGCGUAAGUCCGGAACCGGCCGCUUGGCAAACCGCUCCGGUCCGCUCCUCCGGUUUCAAGCUGACGGCGUUCCCUGCUUGGCAGUUUGCAGAGGACCCCUUAUCGGCAGAUUGCGUUGCA
rnacentral:lncRNA from 1 species